rnacentral:rRNA from 1 species
CCAAUAGCGUAUAUUAAAGUUGUUGCAGUUAAAAAGCUCGUAGUUGAAUUUCGGGGUCUGUCCGUCGGUCGGACUUCACGGUCCGUACUGGUGUGAUGGGUUCCUACCUUCUGAAUAACCGGCAUGCCAUUCAGUUGGUGCGCCGGGGAAGCAGAGCUAUUACCUUGAAAAAAUUAGAGUGCUUAAAGCAGGCUAGUGCUUGAAUAGAUUAGCAUGGAAUAAUAAAAUAGGACGGCAUGGUUCUAUUUUGUUGGUUUCUAGGAUCACCGUAAUGAUUAAUAGGGAUAGUUGGGGGCAUUAGUAUUCAAUUGUCAGAGGUGAAAUUCUUGGAUUUAUUGAAGACUAACUUCUGCGAAAGCAUUUGCCAAGGAUGUUUUCAUUAAUCAAGAACGAAAGUUAGGGGAUCGAAGACGAUCAGAUACCGUCGUAGUCUUAACCAUAAACUAUGCCGACUAGGGAUCGGACGAUGUUAAUUUUUUAAUGACUCGUUCGGCGCCUUACG